rnacentral:tRNA from 1 species
UAGUUUAUAAUAAAACAUAUAAUUUUGAUUUAUAAAAAAAAUAUAAUAUAUUUCUAAAUAA